UCAGAACUUCAAGUUUCAACCUCAGACUGAUCUGUAUGUAGGCCUAUAUCAAAAUAUUAGGUAUACUCAACCUAUUUUAAUUUAUGUACAGUAUUUAAAUAGAAUGUCACACAGCUCUGUUACACUUAUGCUAGUAGAUCGUUGAUCAGCUGUUUCUCCGGAGAGAGGGGGAGAAAGAGAGAGAU